AUCUUGAAAACGGAAAAUAAAAACAGCAGACCUAUGAAGGUCGAAGGGGAAGAAAAGCUGUAUCGAUUGUUGAGAUCUGGCGACUUGUUUAAAUUUCAUCAGCCUCACUUCUAUGAACUCUCAGGACAGCUCACAGUAUGGCAGCUGACAUUCUACAGAGUGAGCAGGUGAAGGAAAGAAAGAAAAGAGCUGAUUACCAACUCCUACCACUGUUAACCCUCAUCCAGGAACAAGCUUAUGUCUUUAACAUUCUGAGUGGGCUUCAGCAUCCUUGCAUAUGUUCAAUUCUUAAAAACCUGUUGAAAUAAAAGAUCAGGAGACAUAGGAAGGAUGCCAGAAGAGAGCGUGGCCUCACGUGUACCAGCUCUCUGCUCUCCUUUGCCUUGGGACGUUCCAUCCCUGGAAGUUUCCCUGCCCACAUCUUUGUAGAGAGUCCAUUCUCCAAGCUUCAGUGUGUCAUCUGUGAGGACCGUGACCCACCUGGUACAUCGCCUCAGGGCAUUCAUUUCAGGCUCCUUCUAAAUGGCCAAGGUAAACCUCAGGUUCUCCUCCUGCCUUUUGCUAAGUAUAUGUCUUGAUGACAAGCCUUCUGCUGAUGAGCUGUGUUUCUGGACCGAUCAUGGUAGAAGUCAAUUAACGUGUCCCUCACUUGGGGUUUCUCAAGGCUGCACUGAUGAGGAAACUGAAACAGAAAAUCCAGAGUAAAUUCCACCAGGCCACACAGCAAGGUCUGAUAGAGCCAGGAGAGACUUUAUGAAAUCCAGACUCUCACACUAAUGCUCUAUCAGCUAGACCUCCAUGUGAGUCUCCCCAAUGUAGGUAGGAAGUGCUUUCCCUAAAAUGCUCAUAAAGCAAAUCAGAGCAAUGCUGCAUUCCAUGUGAUUUCUAAUUUGAAAUGCAAACAAUUGCCAAUUUGUUUGACUUGUAUUUAUAAUUAUUUCCUUGUGAAUUACUCAUCACUAAAUGCUUUAUAAAUAUUUUCUCUUUUUUUCCUCAAUGUCUAUGGAAUGAUCACAGCAUAGAAAAUGUUGGCUUUCAAGGAUUUAUUAAUAUCUCCUUUUGAAAUAACAUGUAUUUGUAAGACAGAAUAAAAUCACUUUAAAGAAACAAA
rnacentral:lncRNA from 1 species